GAACUAAAGGACAACCAGACUGAUUCUAAUUUAGCUAGCUCUAACUGAAAUUAAAAAUGUAAAACUAUUCUACCUCUGUCCUUUGCCAAAUGUGACUGAGAAUCUGUCAAGAAAAUACCACUCUGAACAAAGGAGAGUGUUUUGUCUCCCACGAGGACCUAUGCAUGUACCAAGCCUGAGGAGACACAUUGUGCCAACAGUGGUGGAAGCCAAGUUCCUUUCCUUUGGGUGGAGUCCGUCUAGCAUGGCAAGAACUGUGGCCAUACUUCUAGUGUGAUGUGGAAAGAAGGUGGGGAAGUGGGUUAAGGAUUCCCAGAAAACAAAACAAACCAAAACAACAACAACAACAACAACAAACAGAACUAUAUUGUGGGACUGAUUUCCGACAUCUAGGAAUCUGCACUCCUUUCAUUCGCUUCAUGAUCUGCUGCGGGAUCAAACCUGCAACUUAGGAGAGGAAUGAAAUGGAACUGUGUGUACCUGCUGGGUUUUAUUAACCCUUGUUUUGGUUGUAAGCAGAAAAGUUGCCUUUUAUAAACCUUUUUUUUUAAUUACUCAGUUGUGUUCAUUCUUACACACAAAUUCUUUUUCCUUUAGCCUCAGUUCUAAUGUCUAGGAGUUGCUAGGCUCACUUGCAAGAAACUAAAUGUUCAUUACCAGUAUGAAAAAUCUGUUAUAAAAGUGUUCAGGAAAAUUUUUAAACACCAACAUUAGUUUCAUUGCAUUAUCACUCAUAUUAAUGUGUUAGGUAACUCAUAACUUUUU
rnacentral:lncRNA from 1 species